AGGGCAAGUCUGGUGCCAGCAGCCGCGGUAAUUCCAGCUCCAAUAGCGUAUAUUAAAGUUGUUGCAGUUAAAAAGCUCGUAGUUGAAUUUCGGGGUUAGUAGGUUGGUCAUGCCUCAGGUAUGUACUGAUCUCACUGACUCCUCCUUCCUGAUGAACCGUAAUGCCAUUAAUUUGGUGUUGCGGGGAAACUGGACUGUUACUUUGAAAAAAUUAGAGUGUUUAAAGCAGGCUAACGCUUGAAUACAUUAGCAUGGAAUAAUGAAAUAGGACGUUCGAUCUUAUUUUGUUGGUUUCUAAGAUUGACGUAAUGAUUAAUAGGGAUAGUUGGGGGCAUUAGUAUUCAAUUGUCAGAGGUGAAAUUCUUGGAUUUAUUGAAGACUAACUACUGCGAAAGCAUUUGCCAAGGAUGUUUUCAUUAAUCAAGAACGAAAGUUAGGGGAUCGAAGACGAUCAGAUACCGUCGUAGUCUUAACCAUAAACUAUGCCGACUAGGGAUCGGAUGAUGUUAAUUUUUUAAUGACUCAUUCGGCGCCUUACGGGAA
rnacentral:rRNA from 1 species